UAGAUCGGUCAUGGGGAUGCCUACGGUAUGGCCGCGGUACAUGAGCUCUCUUCCGGAAUGGGCGGCAUUCGGACGGCCGGAGAUUUGGUCAGUCGAAUG
rnacentral:ncRNA from 1 species